rfam:Candidatus Brocadia fulgida BROFTL_contig000183, whole genome shotgun sequence.
GAAAGCCGUGUGCGGGAAAACCGCAAGCACGGUUUGAUGAGGGAGGACUGGCGAAAUAGCAUGGUGAGGCUACUGAGCACUGCCAGACGAAAGGGGCAGAAACAGAUAGGCCAACCUAAACUAUAGAUAGCCAGUUCCCUACUCUAC